rnacentral:rRNA from 1 species
CAGCAGCCACGGGAAUACGUAGGGUGCAAGCGUUAAUCGGAAUUACUGGGCGUAAAGCGUGCGCAGGCGGUUAUAUAAGACAGUCGUGAAAUCCCCGGGCUCAACCUGGGAACUGCGAUUGUGACUGUAUGGCUAGAGUGUGUCAGAGGGGGGUAGAAUUCCACGUGUAGCAGUGAAAUGCGUAGAUAUGUGGAGGAAUACCGAUGGCGAAGGCAGCCCCCUGGGAUAACACUGACGCUCAUGCACGAAAGCGUGGGGAGCAAACAGGAUUAGAUACCCCGGUAGUCCCUGUCUCUUAUAC